rnacentral:rRNA from 1 species
GAUGAACGCUGGCGGCGUGCCUAAUACAUGCCAGUCGAGCGAACAGAUGAGGAGCUUGCUCCUCUGACGUUAGCGGCGGACGGGUGAGUAACACGUGGAUAACCUACCUAUAAGACUGGGAUAACUACGGGAAACCGGAGCUAAUACCGGAUAAUAUAUUGAACCGCAUGGUUCAAUAGUGAAAGACGGUUUUGCUGUCACUUAUAGAUGGAUCCGCGCCGCAUUAGCUAGUUGGUAAGGUAACGGCUUACCAAGGCAACGAUGCGUAGCCGACCUGAGAGGGUGAUCGGCCACACUGGAACUGAGACACGGUCCAGACUCCUACGGGAGGCAGCAGUAGGGAAUCUUCCGCAAUGGGCGAAAGCCUGACGGAGCAACGCCGCGUGAGUGAUGAAGGUCUUCGGAUCGUAAAACUCUGUUAUUAGGGAAGAACAAAUGUGUAAGUAACUAUGCACGUCUUGACGGUACCUAAUCAGAAAGCCACGGCUAACUACGUG